rnacentral:rRNA from 1 species
CCUACGGGCGGCAGCAGUGAGGAAUAUUGGUCAAUGGCCGGAAGUCUGAACCAGCCAAGCCGCGUGAAGGACGAAGGUGCCAAGCAUUGUAAACUUCUUUUGUCAAGGGACAAAAUCAGGCUCGCGAGCCUGACCGCGGGUACUUGAAGAACAAGCAUCGGCUAACUCCGUGCCAGCAGCCGCGGUAAUACGGAGGAUUCAAGCGUUAUCCGGAUUUAUUGGGUUUAAAGGGUGCGUAGGCGGUCGGAUAAGUUAGAGGUGAAAUCCCGAGGCUCAACUUCGGAAUUGCCUCUGAUACUGUUAGGCUAGAGAGUAGUUGCGGUAGGCGGAAUGUAUGGUGUAGCGGUGAAAUGCUUAGAGAUCAUACAGAACACCGAUUGCGAAGGCAGCUUACCAAGCUACGUCUGACGUUGAGGCACGAAAGCGUGGGGAGCAAACAGGAUUAGAUACCCGGGUAGUC